rnacentral:rRNA from 1 species
AGUGAACGCUGGCGGUAGGCCUAACACAUGCAAGUCGAACGGCAGCACAGUAAGAGCUUGCUCUUACGGGUGGCGAGUGGCGGACGGGUGAGGAAUACAUCGGAGUCUACUUUUUCGUGGGGGAUAACGUAGGGAAACUUACGCUAAUACCGCAUACGACCUACGGGUGAAAGCAGGGGAUCUUCGGACCUUGCGCGAUUGAAUGAGCCGAUGUCGGAUUAGCUAGUUGGCGGGGUAAAGGUCCACCAAGGCGACGAUCCGUAGCUGGUCUGAGAGGAUGAUCAGCCACACUGGAACUGAGACGCGGUCCAGACUCCUACGGGAGGCAGCAGUGGGGAAUAUUGGACAAUGGGCGCAAGCCUGAUCCAGCCAUACCGCGUGGGUGAAGAAGGCCUUCGGGUUGUAAAGCCCUUUUGUUGGGAAAGAAAAGCAGCAGGUUAAUACCCCGCUGUUCUGACGGUACCCAAAGAAUAAGCACCGGCUAACUUCGUG